GGAACAAAUCAUCGCGCAUCGAAAGAUAGAACACUAUUACAAAGCAGUGGAUCAAUCUUUCCAAGUUAAACGUAAUCUUCGCGAAGUUUCUAAGCCCCGCGCGUUGAACUUGUUCAAUCCUUAUUGGAAUUCAUCGCGUAUCCUCGAUACCGCAGAGAAGUUUGAAAUCUUGACGAGGUGACGCGGAUCGUUACAAAGCAAACAGAGAUUACUCUUUGGGAGGAGGUUCGGUUACAUGUCUGCGCACAAAACGUGCGACGUUCAUAAUUUUCUUUGACUACGCUCGGCGGCGGCCCCGUUCGUUGCCACUUCGCUAAUGAAACGGAGGAGCGGUGGCUAAUGAGCCUAAUGAGCGAGCUCUGUUGAAGUGUGUGCUUAUCGUCUUACUUGCGCCCCUAUGGGGGUCGCCCGCGGAUAAUACAAUCUCGCUGAGAAAAUUGUCGAGGCGCAGAAGAAGGCUGACCUGCGUGAUGUACGAUUGGGAUCUACAAUUAACCUGGCUGUAUUUUGGUAGCUCACUACGGGCAUUUACAGUUUUCAUCAAUCUUUGAACGCUAUCGAGGGUCUAACAUGAAAAAUGCCUUUUCUCGGAAACGGAUUUGACUCGGAGCGAGGAGUGGCCUCGGCGGAGAUGGAUCUUUCGUGAAACGUGUACGCGGCCACUACGGGGGAAGACGUGAAUUAAGACCGAAGGCGUUUCAUGGAAAAUUAAGGGGUUACACGGGACGGAUCAAAAGGUGUUGAAAUAAAUUUUCUAUCGACCGUGCUGCGUACAGAGGGAAUAAA